rnacentral:lncRNA from 1 species
CGGGGGCUACGACCCUUCAACAUACCAGUGAGUGGGCUUUUGGUUUUUAGUAUAUAAUUAUAUACUUGAUAUUUUCCCAAAAAAAUGUGUUUAAAUGAAAAUAUGCUUUGAAAUGCCAUGCAUAUAAAUUUAUAUUCAGCAUAUGAAUUAGUAUAUGAUGCAUAAUAUGAAUUGGUGAUGUGGACGCUCAGGUAAGUAUCAGGUGAGUUAUGUUUGUUAUAUGAGAUAUUGAUAAUGUGAGACGUGAUUGAGAGCUCAUAAACCUGCACCCCGGGUGAUUGUCAUUUAGCCAAAGAUAUGGCACAUGCCUAUUUAUAAUGUCACCUCCCACACCAUAUGCUCACAUUGGAUCCAAUUUAGGUGCACAGUCUUGUCGUACAGGCCAUCAUAGGUGGUUCUGACUCGUAGGUGACUAGCGACUUAUCGCACAGCUAGCAUGAGAGCAUAGCAUUAAGCAUAACUAUAUUACACCCAGUCUUGUUGUAUAGACCUUUGCAGUGGUUCCAACUCAUGUGCAGUGUAGUGCC